rnacentral:rRNA from 1 species
UACGUAGGGUGCAAGCGUUGUCCGGAAUUAUUGGGCGUAAAGAGCUCGUAGGCGGUGUGUCACGUCGGCCGUGAAAACCUGGGGCUUAACUCUGGGCGUGCGGUCGAUACGGGCAUCACUAGAGUUCGGCAGGGGAGACUGGAAUUCCUGGUGUAGCGGUGAAAUGCGCAGAUAUCAGGAGGAACACCGGUGGCGAAGGCGGCUCACUGGCCCGGUACUGACGCUGAGGUGCGAAAGCGUGGGGAGCAAACAGG